rnacentral:rRNA from 1 species
UACAGGGGGUGCAAACGUUGCUCGGAAUCAUUGGGCGUAAAGCGCACGUAGGCGGUUCGUUAUGUCGGAUGUGAAAGCCCUUGGCUUAACCGAGGAAGUGCAUCCGAAACUGGCGAGCUAGAGUACGAAAGAGGAUCGCGGAAUUCCCGGUGUAGAGGUGAAAUUCGUAGAUAUCGGGAGGAACACCGGUGGCGAAGGCGGCGAUCUGGGUCGAUACUGACGCUGAGGAGCGAAAGUGUGGGGAGCGAACAGG